rnacentral:rRNA from 1 species
GAUGAACGCUGGCGGCGUGCUUAACACAUGCAAGUCGAACGGUGAACACGGAGCUUGCUCUGUGGGAUCAGUGGCGAACGGGUGAGUAACACGUGAGCAACCUGCCCCUGACUCUGGGAUAAGCGCUGGAAACGGCGUCUAAUACUGGAUAUGUGACGUGACCGCAUGGUCUGCGUUUGGAAAGAUUUUUCGGUUGGGGAUGGGCUCGCGGCCUAUCAGCUUGUUGGUGAGGUAAUGGCUCACCAAGGCGUCGACGGGUAGCCGGCCUGAGAGGGUGACCGGCCACACGGGGAAUGGGACCCGGCCCGGCCCCCUCGGGGGGGAAGGGGGGGGGAAUAUUGAACAAGGGGGGAAAGCCGGAUGCAGCAACGCGGGGGGGGGAAUGACGGCUUUCGGGUUGUAAACCUUUUUAAGCAGGGAAGAAGGGAAAGGGGGGGUACUUGCAGAAAAAGCGGCGGCAAACUACG